rnacentral:misc_RNA from 1 species
GAUGAAGAACGUAGCGAAAUGCGAUAAGUAAUGUGAAUUGCAGAAUUCAGUGAAUCAUCGAAUCUUUGAACGCACAUUGCGCCCGCUAGUAUUCUGGCGGGCAUGCCUGUCCGAGCGUCAUUUCAACCCUCAAGCCCCCGGGCUUGGUGUUGGGGAUCGGCGAGCCUCCGCGCCCGCCGUCCCCUAAAACUAGUGGCGGUCUCGCUGUAGCUUCCUCUGCGUAGUAGCACACCUCGCACUGGGAAACAGCGCGGCCACGCCGUUAAACCCCCAACUUCUGAACGUUUGACCUCGGAUCAGGUAGGAAUACCCGCUGAACUUAAGCAUAUCAAUAAGCGGAGGA